UAAGGAAUAUUGCACAAUGGGGGAAACCCUGAUGCAGCAACGCCGCGUGAGUGAUGAAGGCCUUCGGGUUGUAAAACUCUUUUCUGAGGGAGGAGGAAGGACAGUACCUUAGGAAUAAGUCUCGGCUAACUACGUGCCAGCAGCCGCGGUAAAACGUAGGAGGCGAGCGUUAUCCGGAUUUACUGGGCGUAAAGGGCAAGUAGGCGGUGGUUCAAGUUGGGCGUAACAGAUCCUGGCUUAACUGGGAGAGGUCGUUCAAAACUGGAUCACUAGAGGGCAGGAGAGGGGAGCGGAAUUCCUAGUGUAGCGGUGGAAUGCUCAGAUAUUAGGAAGAACACCAGUGGCGAAAGCGGCUUUCUGGCCUGCACCUGACGCUGAAGGGCGAAAGCUAGGGGAGCGAACGG
rnacentral:rRNA from 1 species